rnacentral:rRNA from 1 species
UACGGAGGAUGCGAGCGUUAUCCGGAUUUAUUGGGUUUAAAGGGUGCGUAGGCGGUCCGUUAAGUCAGCGGUAAAAUUGCGGGGCUCAACCCCGUCGAGCCGUUGAAACUGGCAGACUUGAGUUGGCGAGAAGUAUGCGGAAUGCGUGGUGUAGCGGUGAAAUGCAUAGAUAUCACGCAGAACUCCGAUUGCGAAGGCAGCAUACCGGCGCCCGACUGACGCUGAAGCACGAAAGCGUGGGUAUCGAACAGG